AUGCUUGAAAAUAAAACUGACAACAACAAAGGCUUGUUCACGGCCUUUACUGUUACUUACUAAAUAAUACUUAUAAUAAUAAAACUUACUUAAUAAAUAGCUUAAAACUAAAUAACAACUACAACGAAAAAACAAUUGUCUGUAAAUAACUAUAUCCAACAAGUGUAAAUAACUAUAUCUAUAUAUCUUCCAUCUUGCUAUAACCAAACAAUGAAUGAAAAUGUGUAAAUAUCACAGAUGAGUUUGAUUGUAUGUAAAUAUGUAAAUAUAUGUAAAGAAAUGUUGAUAAACGAAUGACAGACCACUUUGUUCUGAUUGUAACCUAACCUAACCUAACAUAAAAAAUUAAAUGUAAAAUAAAACGAUAUGAGCUGUGCUCGUUUUCUUCAUCCACGGUGUGUUCCAGUCGUUGAUUUAAUGAAAAAAGCAGGCAUGGCAAAUGGGGCUGAUUCGUUGUCGAUUGUUUCAUUAAUAAUGGCAACUGGAGAAAGUUCUUUGGCCACUGUCGGGGAGAUAGUGAACCAGAUUGGAAAGGCGUAUGUCAACACUAGUCUCACAGCCACUUUAUACACUAAUAACAUCUUUCCUGCAUGUGUAUUGAAUCUCAACAUUUUGUCAAAUGCUACUCCAAGGUAUUUGACUCUGGAUUCUACAGGAUUGCUGACUACAUUGAGGGUAAUUUUCAGUGUCUUGCUCUGGGGUACCACAUACCUUGGACAUUUACCAGAGGCAUUCCGUAUGCAGAUUGCCCGGGAUUUAGCGGCAUUAAUUGUAAUACCUCAAGUUUCAUAAUACUGGUUAAUUCGCCUUAGAUGAGCUGCUAAUCUCUCAAGAGCAAUUUCGGAAGAUUUUUCAUGUACAUAUAUUAAGCAAUCAUCUGCAUAGAGAGUGGCCUACGAAUCAACCGCUGUGUGAGAAAAGUCAUGGUUGACAAAGUGGUAAUUAUUUUGAUUAUGAACAGCACCAAAAUCAUCAUCAAAUGCGACGAGGAAUGGCAUUUGUGAAAUUCUAAAUUCUGGAUUACAAAUCUUCACCUUAAUAAUAGUCUUUAUCAGUUUAAUUUAUUUGGAUAUAACAACAUAUUCACCACUUAUCCGGUUCCCCGUUAGAUGAAAAAUCUUAUUCAAUUCCUUUUGCCAUGUGUGUUUAAUUUGCCUUUUCAGAAAGAGGAAAUUUAUUGCCUUGGAUAAGGUUUUGUUUGGUAUGGGCGUUGUUUAUGGAAUUGAAAGAGAAUUUGAAAUCGUCUUUUAAGGAAUCGAUCUCGUGAUCUUCAAGAUUUGAUGAAGAAAGGGGCAUACUGCAAUGAGAUGCCCAUGAGAGUCCAUAUCUUGUACAAAAUUAGACCAAUUUGUAUCUUUAUAGGAGGAAUAUGUUCGGGCUGAUCUCAUUAAAAGUUCCGGUUGAUCAACACGAAGAGUUAGUUUAAUAGGAAAAUGAUCAGAGAAAGACGAUAAUGUUGAGAUUUGAAUGUUUGGCACGGUUCCGUUCAAUAGUUGUGGGCUUAACAAAACGUGAUCUAAAAAUUAUGAACCAUUUGGAUAUGAAGGCGAUGCGUCACAAUGGCGACUCACGUCGAGUCUAUUAGCCUUACGCCAUUUCCGUAGUCUUUCCAUUCAUAUUCUCAAGUUGAUCACCCCAAAAAUGACUUUGAGAAUUCAAAUCCCCUUCAAAAAUAAAUUCGUCGAAAUUGCCACAGAGCUGUAAGAGUUUUGACCAAUUCACCCCAAAUCUCUGAGGGUGAUAAUUGCAUAUACAUAUAUUGAUCCAAUUAAACAUUUUUUCCGUGUAUCAUUAUUCAGGAAUUCUAUUUGCAGGAGUGCCGUAUUAAAGCCAACGUCAUUUAAAAAGACACUAUUAAAUUGAAUUGAAUCCCUUUUAACAACGGCAACGCCGACCGUUGUAUUAUCGUAGACAAAAUUGUUACCAUCGUAUUUAACCCUUAUUUUUCCUUCAGGUGGCAUUGCUGAAUAAAGCCAAUGUCGAUUCGAUUGCGAUGGAAAGUAUCCUUUAGGUCUAUUUGUCGACUGGUAUCGACAAGAGAUCUUACAUUGUAAGUUAGAAAUUUCAUGAUCCCAUCGUCCAUAAUUAAUCCUUACUUUGUUCAACUGGCGCAAAAAUUCUUCUUUGGUCUCGGGUUUUGGCAUGUCUGAAUAUUCAGAAAGAAAAAUGUUGACCUCUUGCUCCAAGGUCCAUUCUUCCAGAUCCAGGAAAAGUCAUCCCAAUUUUAAAAAUUGGUCAAUCAGUGGUGGUUUAUGUUGUGGCCCCUUUGUUGCGUGAUACGAGGUUGGAAUAAGUUGGAGAAUUUCUGGCCUGGUAUUACCAAGGACAUAUUUACAGCUCUAUUUACAUUGGCUUUGGCAAGCUCCUUCUCCUUAAUGGUCAUAGAUAUUCAUUGCAUGCGGCAGCAACGUAUUUCCUGUAAGUUGGGCAUCCCCGCCAGUUUGCCGGAUGGCCCGUCUCACCACAAUUGUUGCCGAAGGGAUCACUUGAGUCAUCCUUUGUACGCUGACAUCCACUGGACCAUGCUGUUUAUCACAUUUUACACAAUUAUAACUGAACUGCAAUUCUUUGAGAUGUUUCCCCACCGUUGGCCCUUCUACAUUGAAUUUCGGAAUCUUUUUUUUUCUUGGUUUUUCCCACGAAACAAUUUGGUAUUAUAUAGCCCUUACAUUACAGAUAUCAGAAAGCUUUUUCGCAGCAAUAGCGAAACUAAAAACAGACCUGCAUCUGUAUUCCUUUGAGUUUUAUAAUUUAUAACCUUUGCAAUUGUAUUCGGGACAACUUCAUCUAACUCUGCCUUUAUAUCUUCCGUUUCAGUGCUGGAAGCCAGAUCUCUCAGUAUGAAAAAUGGCUGUUUUAAUUCCUUGGGUGUAAACGAGUAAGAGUGGAUGCUUUUUUCUCGCAGAAGUGCCAUCAUUGAAGAAUGGACAGAUGGACCAAAAAAAAAUAAUUUACUUUUAUUCUUAUUAAUAUUUUUUACCUUAAAAGAAAAUUUCGAUAUAUUUUCCUUCAAGGUGUCAACAAGAGCCAUGAUGUUGACGUUGUAAAUAAAAAUUGGUCAGCACCAUUUCGAUUUUGUCUCA